GCCUACCCCAGAUGGAAGUGAAAACCCAUAAGGAUUAAAGCUAUUUUUUCUUGACUAAAAAGAGCGACCAAAGGAAGCUCCUUUUUUGUCAUUAGAAAAAAAGAUUUUAGAAUUGAGAGUUGCAACGUACAGCUGGAUUAGGU
rnacentral:sRNA from 1 species